rnacentral:lncRNA from 1 species
UAUAUUGUACGAAAAAUAUAUUAUCCAUCCAAAAGCGUUCAUUGAAACUCUUCGUGUUCAAUCCUCCUAAAGUCAACUCCUACUUUAAGUAAACCUUUUCCUUGUUAAGAGUCCUUUAGUGCCCUUUAUGCCUAUAAUGCACGAAUCACUACUAUGAAUAGUUGCUAUCACAAAUAUCAAUUCCAUUAAUAAGUUGGAAUUCGUGAUGUACUGCAAAUAUGGACAAUGAUGCAUCUUGAAUACUUCAAGCCUCACUCCCAAUUUCCUUAUUACUCGUAAGACCAAAUAUAAUUAGAGAAAAUCCCCCCGUAAUUAUAUCUUGCAUUCGGUAGUGCUUAAAAAGUAUAUCUAAUCAUCUUUAGACCUGAUAUACAAGUAUAUAACUUCUAUUUGAAAGACCAUUCAAGGAUGACGUCUAAAAAAUUGACCGGAGUCUUCUAAAUGUUUUAGUAUCAAAGGGUGUUAUCGCAAAUACAAAGUCAUGUGGAUUCAAUAUAUAUCGAAGAAUUCAAAGGUGUAGGAGAUCGUGGAAAAAGAGCUAAGAAAGAUUCUGUAGACAGUGUGGUUUCCAAUUUCCUCAUAAGAAUGGGAAAGUUUGCCAUGCAAAAAGCGUCGAAUGCACAAGAUGUGGUAAGAGAGCCCAAUUAUGCAAGAGUAUGCAGCUGUCUAAAAGAACACUCUAUUUUGAUCAUCAACUCUAUUCAAAAAUUUGAACUGAUUAAAUUGCCCAUCGAUGCAUUGAAUGGCCAUGGAAAUUACUUCAAAAAUUAUAAUAGCUACAUUGACAGUGAUGCAAUUGUAUCUGUCGCUAGAUCAAGAGUUCUAGCUAAAUAUCGAUUCCAACCUAAUUAAAAGAGUAUCGUUUAGAAUAUAUCUUUAACUUAAAUUAUUUAUUUAUUUACACAUGAAGGAAGAGGGAUUGUUGUAUAUUAUUAAUAUAUAACUUCCCUACAAAUAACUUUAUACAUGUAUAUUAUAUUCUGUAAAUUUAUGCGAGACAAAAUAUAUUGUUAGUUAGAGAAAAUUAAAGCCAUCA